CAGUCGCCGCGGGAAUACAGAGGGUGCGAGCGUUAAUCGGAUUUACUGGGCGUAAAGCGUGCGUAGGCGGCUUUUUAAGUCGGAUGUGAAAUCCCUGAGCUUAACUUAGGAAUUGCAUUCGAUACUGGGAAGCUAGAGUAUGGGAGAGGAUGGUAGAAUUCCAGGUGUAACGGUGAAAUGCGUAGAGAUCUGGAGGAAUACCGAUGGCGAAGGCAGCCAUCUGGCCUAAUACUGACGCUGAGGUACGAAAGCAUGGGGAGCAAACAGGAUUAGAUACCCCGGUAGUCCCUGUCUCUUAUAC
rnacentral:rRNA from 1 species